UACGUAGGGUGCGAGCGUUGUCCGGAAUUAUUGGGCGUAAAGGGCUCGUAGGCGGUUUGUCGCGUCGGGAGUGAAAACCCAGGGCUUAACUCUGGGCUUGCUUUCGAUACGGGCAGACUAGAGGUAUGCAGGGGAGAACGGAAUUCCUAGUGUAGCGGUGAAAUGCGCAGAUAUCAGGAGGAACACCGGUGGCGAAGGCGGUUCUCUGGGCAUUACCUGACGCUGAGGAGCGAAAGUGUGGGGAGCGAACAGG
rnacentral:rRNA from 1 species